UACGAAGGGGGCUAGCGUUGCUCGGAAUCACUGGGCGUAAAGGGUGCGUAGGCGGGUCUUUAAGUCAGGGGUGAAAUCCUGGGGCUCAACCUCGGGCGUGCGAUGGAUACUGCCGGGCUAGAGGAUGGUAGAGGCGAGUGGAAUUCCCGGUGUAGCGGUGAAAUGCGCAGAUAUCGGGAGGAACACCUGAGGUGAAGACGGGUUGCUGGGCUGACACUGACGCUGAGGCGCGAAAGCCAGGGGAGCAAACGGG
rnacentral:rRNA from 1 species